rnacentral:rRNA from 1 species
UACGGGGGGGCAAGCGUUGUUCGGAAUUACUGGGCGUAAAGGGCUCGUAGGCGGCCAACUAAGUCGGAUGUGAAAUCCCCAAGCUUAACUUGGGAACUGCAUCCGAUACUGGAUGGCUUGAAUCCGGGAGAGGGAUGCAGAAUUCCAGGUGUAGCGGUGAAAUGCGUAGAUAUCUGGAGGAAUACCGGUGGCGAAGGCGGCAUCCUGGACCGGCAUUGACGCUGAGGAGCGAAAGCUAGGGGAGCAAACAGGG